CUUCACCGAGCCCAACCGGAGCGGGUGGGCGCGGUCCUGCCCGUACACGGUCAGCAACGCCUGCGCCUC
rnacentral:antisense_RNA from 1 species